rnacentral:rRNA from 1 species
GACGAACGCUGGCGGCGUGCUUACCACGUGCAAUUCGAACGGAAAGUCCCUGCUUUUUUUGUGUUCUCUAGUGUCUAACGUGUGUGUAACACUUUUUUAACCUGCCCUUCACUUUUUUAUAACUUCAUGAAACUUUGUCUAAUACCGGAUAGGAUCUCCUGCUUCAUUGUUUUUUUUGUUAAUUUUCGGCGGUUGGUGAUGGACUCGCUGCUUAUCAGCUUGUUGGUGGGGUAGUGGCUUACCAAGGCUUUGACGGGUAGCCGGCCUGAGAGGGUGAACGGCCACAUUGGGACUGAGAUACGGCACAGACGCGUACGGGAGGAAGCAGUGGGGAAUAUUGCAAAAUGGGAGGAAGCAUGAAGCAGCAAAGCGGCGGGCGGGAUGACGGCAUUCGGGUUGUAAACCGAUUUCGCAUGUGACGAAGCGUGAGUGACGGUAAUGGGUAAAGAAGCAACGGCUAACUACGUG